rnacentral:rRNA from 1 species
UGGCGAACGGGUGAGUAACACGUGGGCAAUCUGCCCUGCACUCUGGGACAAGCCCUGGAAACGGGGUCUAAUACCGGAUACUGAUCCUCGCAGGCAUCUGCGAGGUUCGAAAGCUCCGGCGGUGCAGGAUGAGCCCGCGGCCUAUCAGCUUGUUGGUGAGGUAACGGCUCACCAAGGCGACGACGGGUAGCCGGCCUGAGAGGGCGACCGGCCACACUGGGACUGAGACACGGCCCAGACUCCUACGGGAGGCAGCAGUGGGGAAUAUUGCACAAUGGGCGAAAGCCUGAUGCAGCGACGCCGCGUGAGGGAUGACGGCCUUCGGGUUGUAAACCUCUUUCAGCAGGGAAGAAGCGAAAGUGACGGUACCUGCAGAAGAAGCGCCGGCUAACUACGUGCCAGCAGCCGCGGUAAUACGUAGGGCGCAAGCGUUGUCCGGAAUUAUUGGGCGUAAAGAGCUCGUAGGCGGCUUGUCACGUCGGUUGUGAAAGCCCGGGGCUUAACCCCGGGUCUGCAGUCGAUACGGGCAGGCUAGAGUUCGGUAGGGGAGAUCGGAAUUCCUGGUGUAGCGGUGAAAUGCGC